CGGUGAAUACGUUCCCGGGCCUUGUACACACCGCCCGUCACACCAUGGGAGUGGGCUGCACCAGAAGUAGAUAGCUUAACCUUCGGGAGGGCGUUUACCACGGUGUGGUUCAUGACUGGGGUGAAGUCGUAACAAGGUAGCCCUAGGGGAACCUGGGGCUGGAUCACCUCCUUA
rnacentral:rRNA from 1 species